AGGGAUAGGUAAAACAAUGACUGC
rnacentral:miRNA from 1 species